CGCCAGACUCCUACGGGAGGCAGCAGUGGGGAAUAUUGCACAAUGGGGGAAACCCUGAUGCAGCGACGCCGCGUGAGUGAAGAAGUAUUUCGGUAUGUAAAGCUCUCUCAGCAGGGAAGAAAAUGACGGUACCUGAUUAAGAAGCCCCGGCUAACUACGUGCCAGCAGCCGCGGUAAUACGUAGGGGGCAAGCGUUAUCCGGAUUUACUGGGUGUAAAGGGAGCGUAGACGGUGAUGCAAGUCAGAAGUGAAAGCCCGGGGCUCAACUCCGGGACUGCUUUUGAAACUGUGUGACUGGAGUGCAGGAGAGGUAAGCGGAAUUCCUGGUGUAGCGGUGAAAUGCGUAGAUAUCAGGAGGAACACCAGUGGCGAAGGCGGCUUACUGGACUGUAACUGACGUUGAGGCUCGAAAGCGUGGGGAGCAAACAGGAUUAGAUACCCUCGUAAGA
rnacentral:rRNA from 1 species